rnacentral:rRNA from 1 species
UCCAGACUCCUACGGGAGGCAGCAGUGGGGGAUAUUGGACAAUGGGGGGAACCCUGAUCCAGCGACGCCGCGUGAGUGAAGAAGUAUUUCGGUAUGUAAAGCUCUGUCAGCAGGGAAGAAAGCAAUGACGGUACCUGACCAAGAAGCCCCGGCUAACUACGUGCCAGCAGCCGCGGUAAUACGUAGGGGGCAAGCGUUAUCCGGAAUUACUGGGUGUAAAGGGAGCGUAGACGGCUGUGCAAGUCUGGAGUGAAAGGCGGGGGCCCAACCCCCGGACUGCUCUGGAAACUGUAGAACUAGAGUGCAGGAGGGGUAAGUGGAAUUCCUAGUGUAGCGGUGAAAUGCGUAGAUAUUAGGAGGAACACCAGUGGCGAAGGCGGCUUACUGGACUGUAACUGACGUUGAGGCUCGAAAGCGUGGGGAGCAAACAGGAUUAGAUACCCUCGUAC